rnacentral:rRNA from 1 species
UUUAAAUUGAGAGUUUGAUCCUGGCUCAGGAUGAAUGCUGGCGGCGUGCUUAACACAUGCAAGUCGAGCGAGAGAGUUUCUUCGGAAACAAUCUAGCGGCGGACGGGUGAGUAACACGUGGGCAACCUGCCUUGUAGUGGGGGAUAGCCCUCCGAAAGGAGGAUUAAUACCGCAUAUUGUCACAUUGAGGCAUCUCAAAGUGA